CUACGGAGGAUGCGAGCGUUAUCCGGAUUUAUUGGGUUUAAAGGGUGCGUAGGCUGUGCGUUAAGUCAGGGGUGAAAUGCCGUCGCUCAACGACGGGGCUGCCCUUGAUACUGGCGUGCUGGAGUACGGAUGCCGUUGGAGGAAUGAGUGGUGUAGCGGUGAAAUGCUUAGAUAUCACUCAGAACACCGAUUGCGAAGGCAUCUGACGAAUCCGUCACUGACGCUGAGGCACGAAAGCGUGGGGAUAGAACAGGAUUAGAUACCCUGGUAUUCCACGCCGUAAACGAUGAUGACUAACCGUCGGCGAUAGACAGCCGGUGGCCAAGCGAAAGCGAUAAGUCAUCCACCUGGGGAGUACGUCGGCAACGAUGAAACUCAAAUGAAUUGGCGGGG
rnacentral:rRNA from 1 species